UACGUAGGCAGCAAGCGUUGUUCGGAGUUACUGGGCGUAAAGGGUGCGUAGGCGGCUUUUUAAGUUUGGUGUGAAAUCUCCCGGCUCAACUGGGAGGGUGCGCCGAAUACUGAGAGGCUAGAGUGCGGGAGAGGAAAGUGGAAUUCCUGGUGUAGCGGUGAAAUGCGUAGAUAUCAGGAGGAACACCAAUAGCGAAGGCAGCUCGCUGGGACGUUACUGACACUAAGGCGCGAAAGCGUGGGGAGCGAACAGG
rnacentral:rRNA from 1 species